ACUCAAAUGAAUUGACGGGGACCCGCACAAGCGGUGGAACAUGUGGUUUAAUUCGAGGCAACGCGAAGAACCUUACCAGGGUUUGACAUGCUCUCUAUGGAUUCCUGAAAGGGAGUCCUUCAGCUCGGCUGGGAGAUGCACAGGUGCUGCAUGGCUGUCGUCAGCUCGUGUCGUGAGAUGUUGGGUUAAGUCCCGCAACGAGCGCAACCCUCGUCCUCUGUUGCUAACAGGUAAUGCUGAGAACUCUGAGGAAACUGCCGGUGAUAAGCCGGAGGAAGGUGGGGAUGACGUCAAGUCCUCAUGGCCCUUACACCCUGGGCUACACACGUGUUACAAUGGUGGUGACAAUGGGUCGCGAUCCCGCAAGGGCUAGCUAAUCCCCAAAAGCCACCUCAGUUUGGAUUGUACUCUGCAACUCGAGUACAUGAAAUUGGAAUCGCUAGUAAUCGUGGAUCAGCACGCCACGGUGAAUACGUUCCCGGGUCUUGCACACACCGCCCGU
rnacentral:rRNA from 1 species